UACGUAGGGUGCGAGCGUUGUCCGGAAUUAUUGGGCGUAAAGGGCUCGUAGGCGGUUUGUCGCGUCGGGAGUGAAAACUCAGGGCUUAACCCUGAGCCUGCUUCCGAUACGGGCAGACUAGAGGUAUGCAGGGGAGAACGGAAUUCCUGGUGUAGCGGUGAAACGCGCAGAUAUCAGGAGGAACACCGGUGGCGAAGGCGGUUCUCUGGGCCAAAACUGACGCUGAGGAGCGAAAGCGUGGGGAGCGAACAGG
rnacentral:rRNA from 1 species